rnacentral:rRNA from 1 species
CAAUAGCGUAUAUUAAAGUUGUUGCAGUUAAAAAGCUCGUAGUUGGAUUUCGGGGCAGCCUGGCUGGUCCGCCGCAAGGCGAGUACUGGUCAGCCGCCCUUCCUCUCGAAAGCCCCGACUGCUCUUUAUUGCAGUGGUCGGGUAGUUCGGGACGUUUACUUUGAAAAAAUUAGAGUGUUCAAGGCAGGCCUACGCCUGAAUACAUUAGCAUGGAAUAAUGGAAGAGGACCUCGGUCCUAUUUUGUUGGUUUCCAGGACCGAAGUAAUGAUUAAGAGGGACAGUUGGGGGCAUUCGUAUUUAAUUGUCAGAGGUGAAAUUCUCGGAUUUAUGAAAGACGAACAACUGCGAAAGCAUUUGCCAAGGAUGUUUUCAUUAAC